rnacentral:misc_RNA from 1 species
CAUCAUAUUUAAGUUGUGUGAGAGGACAGGUUGUCCUUCGAAAUCCAGUGAUUCAAACCCCUCCAACACAGUUAGAUUGUCGUGUUGCUACAUUAUUUAAAAUGCCCGCCACAGGGCGGAAACGGAAAUGUGACAAGACGUCAGGGUGACGUAAAGGCGCGUGCACGAGGACGAGGGUCUUAUCAACAUCUUAUCAACUCAUCUUAACUUACCAAGGUCACUCAGUUAUUGAUCGGGUCUUCAAUGGCUCAAUGUCUCUGGUAAACCACAACAAGAAGCCGAGGGCAACAUCAGAGGACUGUGCAGAUCAAAAAGACAAAGAACACCCUCGGAUAAAAGAAAAUAUUAAACUCGAGAAAAUGGACAAGUGCUAGGGUAGCUUACAUUUUAUGAAAAGUGCUAACUAAAAAUGUAAUCUAAUAUCCAUUUAUCGAUGAGCCAAAUUACUGUGACAUGAGAGUUACUAAACACGUGUACUUAACACGUAUUGGCCGCUCGCGGACAAACGGCUUUACAAACUGCUAUAAGUCGACAUGGAUUGGUAAACAAAUGAAUUGGCAAUUUUAGGAAUGUCACAUAUGGAUUUAAUGAUCAUAUAAAUUUUUUAAAGAA